AUUGCCACGCCUCUCCAGCAACAAGCAACGAAAACAGCCACUAAAAGCAGAACACCAUUUUUACUCAUUAUCUAAAAGCGUCUAUCCCCUCCUCCACCCUCCCUAUCUCCUAUUAACGCGGAAGCCCCUCCGCCCUCCCACGUAAGAGCCUCACGUAUUUUUCUCCUUCUCUCACGUACGCGGCCUUUUCGGCGCCUGAUACUGUGAUCACGAGAAGAGAGGACGAAGAAGCGAAAACCCCCAUCGACUCCCUUCCCGUCUCGAAGAAAGAGAAAAAAAACGUAACGAUCUUCACCUCUUUACAGACUUGUGUGUGUGCGUGUGUGCGUGCGUGUGUUUUGUUUUGCUUCGUCGUGCUUUGAAGGCUUCCCGUUUUUCUGCCUGUCUGCGGAUUCGCUUCCUUCUACCUCCCCCCUUCUCCAUAUCCUCUCCCCACACCCAACCUCCCACAGAAAACAUCUUCAAGAUGCUCCGCUCCGCUGUGUGUCUUGCCGGCAAGGACGUGCGCUUCAGUGACAAGGCCCGCCGCUCCAUGCAGAAGGGCGUCACUCGCGCUGUGGCUGCGGUAGCGACGACGCUGGGGCCGAAGGGUCGCAACGUGAUCAUCGAGCAGGCCUACGGCGCGCCGAAGAUCACGAAGGAUGGCGUGACCGUUGCCAAGGCGAUCGAGUUCAAGGACCCCUUCGAGAACAUGGGUGCGCAGCUGGUACGCCAGGUGUGCAACAAGACGAACGACUUGGCUGGUGACGGCACCACGACCUCUGCGGUGCUUGUGGACAGCAUCUUCGGCGAGGGCCUCAAGUGCAUUGCCCAGGGCACGAACCCGAUCGACAUGAAGCGUGGCAUGGACCGUGCUGUGGAAGUGAUCCUAAAGAGCGUUGCCAAGCAGAGCCGCCCGAUCAAGGGAUCGGAGGACAUUGUCCAGGUUGCCACGAUCUCGGCCAACGGCGAUGAGGAGAUCGGCAAGAUGAUCGGUCAGGCGAUGGACAAGGUCGGCCGCGACGGCGUCAUUACGGCGCAGGACGGCAAGACGAUGGCCACUGAGCUGGAGGUUGUGGAGGGCAUGAGCGUGGACCGCGGCUAUGUGAGCCCAUACUUCGUGACGGAUGCGAAGGCGCAGAAGGCCGAGCUCGAGGAUGCGCUGGUGCUUAUGAGCGCCAAGAAGAUCCAGAGCAUUCACAGCCUUCUCCCAGCUCUCAACCACGUCGUGCGCAGCGGCCGCCCGCUUCUAAUCAUUGCCGACGACGUGGAGAGCGAGGCGCUGACGACACUGAUCUUCAACAAGUUGCAGGGCAAGCUGAAGGUGUGCUGCGUCAAGGCGCCGGGCUUCGGCGAUAACAAGACCGCCAUGCUUCAAGAUAUGUCCGUCUUUACUGGCGCGCAGCUGGUCGGUGAUGAAGGCACGGGGCUCGAGCUGGAUGCCGAAAACUUCGACCCCUCCAUCCUCGGCUCUGUCAAGAAGGUGACAGUGACAAAGGACGACACAGUGAUGCUGAACGGCGGCGGCGAUGCGGCGGCGGUGAAGGAGCGUGUUGAGCUCCUCCGCGAGCUCAUCAAGAACGAGACGAGCGACUACAAUCGUGACAAGCUGAAGGAGCGUCUGGCGAAGCUGAGCGGCGGCGUGGCCGUCAUCAAGGUGGGCGGCGGCUCGGAAGUGGAGGUGAACGAGAAGAAGGACCGCAUCGAGGAUGCCCUGUGCUCCACUCGCGCUGCGGUGCAGGAGGGUAUCGUGGCCGGCGGUGGCACGGCUCUGCUGCGCGCCAGCAAGGAGCUGGAGGCUCUCGCCAACGACUCUUCCCUCACCCGCGAUCAGCGCACGGGUGUGACCAUCGUGCGUAAUGCCAUCCGGCUGCCGGCUAUGAAGAUUGCCGCGAACGCUGGCAAGGAGGGUGCGGUUAUUGUGGAGAAGGUGCUUGAGGCUUCCGAGGAGAGCGUCGGCUACGAUGCGCAGAACGACAGGUACGUGAACAUGUUCGAGGCUGGCAUCAUCGACCCCACCCGCGUCGUGCGUGUGGCCAUCAGCGAUGCGACGUCUGUGGCGAGUCUGAUGAUGACGGCCGAGGCCGCCAUUGUUGAGCUGCCCAAGGACGAUUCCGCUGCCGCGCCGAUGGGCGACAUGGGCGGUAUGGGUGGUAUGGGCGGCAUGGGCUUCUAGGCACGGUGAGUAUACCUUCCUACACCCUACUUCUGCUAUCCGAGCCUCUGUGUGUGUGUGUGUGUGUGCCGCGAGUGUUGCCGAGCUGUGCUUGGGCUGCUCUCUCUUGGCUAACGUGGGGGUGCCCAUGAAGUCAAGAAGUGGAAAGACGCUGCGCUACUCUCUCACAGAAACGGGCUCGCAUAAACACGCUCACACUCACACGCCGUCUAUGGCGUAGAAGUAAGACAAACAAGGAAGAUACCAUCAUGCGAGGGGAGAAGACAGGAGGGCCAGAAACCAGAACAGACAGACGACCGAGGGUAGGAAGGAAAGACGAUGAAUUCAAGGAGUGGAUGUGGAGGGUGGAGCUCUUUACAGAAAGUGGCAACACAGCGAAUGCGAAGGAAACCUUUUUGUCGCCGCAUAGACACAGCACGUUGAGGGAGGCGCGCAAGCACCCUUUGGCGCAACUCCGACUGAUGUGGAUGCGCCGAUGGAGGGAGAGAGAGCGCGGUGGCCGGAUCAGCGAACGGGCAGCUUUGGUGGAUGCUGUGCGCCGAGUUUCAUCUCUUUGUUGUCGCUUUCAUCUGAUGCCGGUGCCCUCCCUGUUACGCAAAUUUCUUCUUUCCUCCUUCACUCAAACCUCUCAGGCACGCCGCCGUUUCCUUUUUUGUGUCUUGCGCUCAUGGUGCGUCUUUCCCCCUUCUCUUGGUUACACGUGUCUCCUCUCUCUCCUUCUUCGACGUGAUCGCCUUUUGGUGACGAAGGGACUGUGAAGGAACGCGUGAAAGCCGGGGGAAGGGGAGGGAAACUGGCGGCGGACGAGGGGAGGGAGAUGGGGGCGGGGCGAUCGACGGAGGGGAGGCAGCAAGGAGGCCAGAAUGGCCGUGGAGUAGCGGUGAAAAUGCCACUAGUGCCCCUCCACUUCAAGCUCGUUGAGCGCCAUCACUGCUCGUUUCCUUCGUUCUUGUCCAAGCCACUGCUGCUCAAAAGCAUUGCUACACGCUCCUAAUGAGCGAGUGAAACAAAUACACACGAAAAACAAAAGUGGCAAUGCUCUUCUUGUCGGUAGUUGCCCCCCUCCCUCCCUGCCCCCUCUCUCUCUCUGUGCGGCAUAUCUUCCGUGCAGCUGUGUUGCAUUUUGUUGUUCGCUUCUCCUUUCACUAAUGUCGAGCCCUCUUCACAGACGUCACCGAUCUGCUCAUCUCGUUUUCUCUCUCUGUGCGUAUGCUCUCUAUCUUUGGUUCGUCUUUUUUUUCUAGCUCUGUGUCUCUCUUGUCGCAUGCUUGUGUGGGCCGUCUCGCAGCGGGGACUGCUGCGUGCGUUGUCAUGACACGGCACGAGGGAGGAAGUGUGGGGGAGAAGGCAGUCGAAGAGACGGUGGACGUGAUACUCAAGACAAAAAAGGAGACGCAUAUGGUGUCUUCCCUUUAACAUGCACCGAAUCCUUCCUCCAUCCCCUUCUUUUCCUUUCCAUUGUGUCCGCUAACCCUAAUUGCAUUGCAUUGCGAGCGUAAAGCAAGUCGCAGGAGCCACACUUGCAUACACACACACACAAGGAGAGAGAGAUCCCUCCUCGUCUUUUUCGUUCGUUUUUUUUUAUGUUUCCCCUUUCCAUUGUUUCCCUUUUUUUGGUUGUUUCCGGCUGUCUCUCUUCCCCCUCCCCCUACCUCCCCCUCUGUUUCGUUUUUCUUUGUAUUCGCCCAGCGCGGGGGUGGGGGGAAGGAGGGAGGGGGAGAGGGGGGUAGUGUGUCUUCGCUAUUUUUGUCACGGUGUCUUCUCGCUUCAGUUUCUUUGUGUGCGUGCGCGGCGUUUCCGUUUGCUCGACAUACGCUAGAACAUGUGUGUGUGUGUAUGUAUGUGCAACUGCCACCACCACCGCCAACGCGAGGACGCGUGUGGACACAGUACACAUAUACAAGAAGGAUAACAGAAGACAAGAAAAGGGAAAGCACAAGCAUGUGCGCACACAUCGAAACACGCGCAGAGCGGGGUGAGACGCAAAUUUUACGAUGCCACACGAAUAGAAGAAAAAAGGUGCAGUACCGGCUACGCAUACGGGCAACGCAUGCACGCUGCGUACCUGUCCAAGGCUGAGCCUGUGAUGAAUGUGCGCAGGAUCUGCUUAGUGGUGUCUCUGUUGUGCGUGCAGCGCAUCCUUUUUCCUCUCUCCUUUUCUUUGCGCGCACGCAGACGUGUGUCUUUCUGUGUUUGUGUGCGAGGUGUUUUGCGCUACAUGUGUGCUCAUUCCCCUCCAGUUGGUCAGGGUUCGUCAACGCAGAGAGACCGAAAGAAGAAAUGAAGUUAACUAAACAACAGGCAGACGAAAAAAAAAGGAACUUC
rnacentral:misc_RNA from 1 species